rnacentral:rRNA from 1 species
UACGAAGGGGGCUAGCGUUGCUCGGAAUCACUGGGCGUAAAGCGCACGUAGGCGGAUUGCUAAGUCAGGGGUGAAAUCCUGGAGCUCAACUCCAGAACUGCCUUUGAUACUGAGGACCUUGAGUAUGGGAGAGGUGAGUGGAACUGCGAGUGUAGAGGUGAAAUUCGUAGAUAUUCGCAAGAACACCAGUGGCGAAGGCGGCUCACUGGCCCGGUACUGACGCUGAGGUGCGAAAGCGUGGGGAGCAAACAGG